GACGGAGGGUGCAAACGUUGUUCGGAAUCACUGGGCAUAAAGCGCACGUAGGCCGUUCGCUAAGUUCGACGUGAAAGCCCCCGGCUCAACCGGGGAACUGCGUCGAAGACUGGCGAACUCGAGGACGGUUGGGGUGAGUGGAACUCCUGGUGGAGCGGUGAAAUGCGUAGAUAUCAGGAGGAACACCGGUGGCGAAAGCGGCUCACUGGACCGUUACUGACGCUGAGGUGCGAAAGCUAGGGGAGCGAACGGG
rnacentral:rRNA from 1 species